UGAAAACUAGGUGUGACGGUGGUUGGUGAAAAAGCACAAGUACUAUGGAUCCAAAAUGCACAUACGUGACAUUCAUAAGAGAAGUCCUCAGCUUUCAUGCCGCAAGCAUCACAUAAAAACAAGGCUUUCCUAGGCCAAAAGGUAAAUUCGUGCUUGUGUCCAUCAUGACGAAUCAAUCGAUCCUUACAUGUCAAGCACACGUCAAAGUUACAAGAAAGACAAGUGUACGUGAACCAAUUGGACACGCGGUUACAAAUAUCACAAAUGGUCGUAUCCGUUCCAUAACUACCCAAACGUGCGUGGAGGGUAAGAGGAUGUUGAUCGUGUAGAGGGUGAUGAAUUUCAUCGGGUAAUUCUGCACAGGUUUUGUGCAGGUAGAAAUCACAACCAUCUCUAGUGCAUAAAUAUACUGCAGCAUGACCAGAGGUGAGGCGGCCUCCAACGACUGGAUUUCGACACCCAUAACACACAACUAAUUCCUUUCCAAUAUGUUGAAUUAGCUCCACCUGCUCUUUGAGGAUCAGUGAGUGCUCAUGGCUAACAUGUUGAAGCUCCAUCCCUAAGUUAAAAUGUAUGUGUGGAGAGUUAAUUUGAUAGUUUAAUUUGAGCAAAUUAAAUAGCGGAUCCCCUCCCUCCAUAUAUAUAUAUAUAUAUAUAAAUAUAAACGACUAUAUAUAUUUCAUUCUCCAAAAAUAUCCAAACUCUAUUUAAUAGUAACAACUACCAAUACAGCUAUUAAACAUGACUGACCAAUAAUGCAUGUCACAGCUAGCAAUAAAUGCAUGUCACAACUAGCAAUAAUUAUUAAUUCAUAUCAAUUUGAUCUUGUCAACCUUGAUAUACUUACGGAAGAGAAUUCGAUGGUGAGAGAAUAAUUUUUUAUCCUUUGAAGUUAAAGAGGAUAUAAUGGACGGUGAGAUUUAUCCCAAACUUUGGACGAUUCUGAUCGUUUAUUAGGGUGAGUGAAAAAUUCAAAAUUAAUUAUGUUUUAUUAAUUAUAUAUAUAUAAAACAAAAUACAACUUAACUGUCACUGCUCAGUUUUUACGUAUUGCUCAUGUGAAGAAUAAAACAUAUGAACCAGCUGCUCCAAGACAUUUUCAUACAAAGAUUCACCUCUCUGCUCCUUAGACAGAUCUUGGUUUGAAUCAAUAUGUUGAAUAAAAUUUUACUUGAAUCUCCUUGAUUUUAACCGUAAAUGUCCAAUUAUUAUACUACUACUAGUUAACAAAAUAAUGAUUCUCCUUCAAAUUUCAAUGUAGUCUGUUUGAAUAAAAAUUCUUGCAGAGUCCGCCAUUCUUGGGUCUACUUCCUCCUCGCAGAUCUCGCAGUAAAUAAUGCCUUGACAAAAGAAAGGAGGGUAUUUCAAGGGAAUGGGGUGAGGAUCCCAUCUAUGUCUGACCCUACUUGGAUAUUGUGCGCAAUCUAUAUGAAUUCUAAAACUGUUGCAGGUUUCACAAAUGAAUUCCAUGUACCGUGAAGAGAUAAAUCGGCAACAUGCCUUGCACCGAAAGUACUCGGAUGGUGCAUGUUGAACUAGAGGGUGCUUGUGAGAUUUAUGUUUGAUCUUGGUAGGUAGAAAAGCACAACCAGUAUCAACCGUGAAAUUACAAGUCUCGCACCGAAAAUAGAAUCCAUUGGUCGACAAGUUACAAGUGGUACAUUUGACGCAGUUAAAAAAAUUAUCAACUCUAUGCUUUGAGAGCGAAUGUUCCGGGUGGCGUGGGCAUUCUCCUACAGGCAACUCGGGUGGCAGCUCGGCACAAACUCUGUGAAGAAAGAUACUGCAUCCAAUACAGCCAUAAAAUGGAUGGGCAGUCGAGACGGGUUUUACACACCCAUCGCAAAGAAUUUCAUCAUCAUUAUUCUUAAAACUACUUUGAUCAAAUUCUUCCAGAAGGAGUAAUGCAUGCUCCCUAUGGCUCUCGUGGUAGAUUAAGUGAUCAGGCGUUGUUUCUAUGAUCAUUUUUUCAGUACCUUCUUCUUCGCCUAGAUUAAUAAUAUUGGUCUUGCCAAUAUGGUCUGUUAUUAGAUCCAAUAACGAUUCCUUAUUAUCCACCGGAAAGUGUAUCAAAUUAGGUAUGUCAUGGUCUGCUGCAAUCUCUUCUUCACAAUAUCUGAAACCACAAAUUAGUUAUAUAUGCCAUGCUAGAGUAGUAAGAAUUUCAAGUAAGCAUUAAUUGCUUAGUUUUCUUAAUACUUGUAGUAAUACAUUAAGACGUGAGUCAUAAAAGAUGAAAAGAAAGAAAGAAAUAAAAAUAGUAGUAAAACAAACCAAAUAAUUACUACAAAUUAGCACACACCUUGAAGAAUAUUCUUCCUCCGACAAUUUACCACAUUCCAUGUGCACAAAAUAUCUGCAUUUAUCACAAUAGUAAACCCAAGAGUUUUGCAACACGUCUUCGUUGCAGAGGCAGCAAAGUGGGAUACUCUUACGAUCCAUGUCAGGCAGAGAAUAUUUGAGGAAUAGAGGGUGACGGUGAAAACUAGGUGUGACGGUGGUUGGUGAAAAAGCACAAGUACUAUGGAUCCAAAAUGCACAUACGUGACAUUCAUAAGAGAAGUCCUCAGCUUUCAUGCCGCAAGCAUCACAUAAAAACAAGGCUUUCCUAGGCCAAAAGGUAAAUUCGUGCUUGUGUCCAUCAUGACGAAUCAAUCGAUCCUUACAUGUCAAGCACACGUCAAAGUUACAAGAAAGACAAGUGUACGUGAACCAAUUGGACACGCGGUUACAAAUAUCACAAAUGGUCGUAUCCGUUCCAUAACUACCCAAACGUGCGUGGAGGGUAAGAGGAUGUUGAUCGUGUAGAGGGUGAUGAAUUUCAUCGGGUAAUUCUGCACAGGUUUUGUGCAGGUAGAAAUCACAACCAUCUCUAGUGCAUAAAUA
rnacentral:lncRNA from 1 species